CUAAAAUUCUAUGAAUCUAUGCUUGAAUUUAAAGUUCAGUUAGCUUACUGCAAUGUGGAUUGGUCUGACGCAAAGAGCAAAAGGACUCCUUUUGAACGCACUCUUGCACAUUGGAAGUUAAAGCCUCAACAUUCAGACUAUUCUUAACAAUUUUGCUUAGAGAUUGUUGUCUUCUUAUAACAAUAUAUCUCUACAGCUAUUGUUUUGCAGAAUAUUCUUCUUAUUGCCUCCUCUACCCAUACUUUUUUGGUUUUUUCCCAUUUCCAUUAGCCUCUUGAACUUAUUUUCUUGAUUAAAUAUAAUUAGCUCAUUGAUUCAUUUUUAUGUAUUUGAUAUUCUGCUGUACUCCAUUAUUCCCAUUGUUCACUCUUUCACCAAAACAUUAUUUGAUAUAUCUUGUCAUAUAAGGGUGAUUUUGCAGUACUGUGUUAGUUCCUAAAUAAAGAAUUGAGGGGCAGGGAGAGAAUCCUGAAGAGGUCUCUUACGGAGGCUACAUGACUCAUUGAACCACUUUUCUCUCUGUUUAAUUUCCAGACACCAAGAAACUUUAUGAACUUAGUUCUGUGAAGAGACUCAAAAUCCCACUGAAUUCAGUGAGAUUUAUUAUGAGAACGCAUGCUUAGGGUUGCUCCUCAUAUCAUUUGGAGCACUUGCUAAGGCACACAAACUUUCUUUUCGACUUUGCUUACAUCCAGUAAUUGACACCCUUUCCUGAAAGCCAUAAGAAGGAUCAGCUUGGAGUGCCCAGUCGCCGUGGUAACUGCCAGAAAAAUUCUCCAGAAGUUUGAAGAGGUCAGCUAACAGGGUCAACAACUCUGGCCUCUUUCUGAGCUGGGGGCAGGCAGGCCCCAUCCUGCUGGCAGAAUGUUCGCCAAGGCCUAACCCUGGGAGGUGGGCCAUUCCAGCUCUGAUAUAAUUUUUUGAGUCAGUUCACGGCCUGGACUCUCCAGGUGGCCUCCAAAUCGAUGGUGACCUCUUGACCCUGUCUAACGUCGGCAUCGCAUCCAACCUAAGGAAGGAUUUAGGCAGGAAUGACAGCUUUCCACUGAGUGUUAUUGGGGACAGUACAACAGUUUGGGAAGCAAGGAGAGGGCUGCUUCCAUCCUUGUCUUCAGAUCUUGCUUUUAACAUUAAGGACAUCCUGGAUUUUUGGUGUAGAAAGGGGGCUUUUCCUUUGUGCCAAGUCAAACUCGUUU